AGAGUUUGAUCAUGGCUCAGAUUGAACGCUGGCGGCAGGCCUAACACAUGCAAGUCGAGCGGUAGCACAGAGAGCUUGCUCUCGGGUGACGAGCGGCGGACGGGUGAGUAAUGUCUGGGAAACUGCCUGAUGGAGGGGGAUAACUACUGGAAACGGUAGCUAAUACCGCAUAACGUCGCAAGACCAAAGUGGGGGACCUUCGGGCCUCAUGCCAUCAGAUGUGCCCAGAUGGGAUUAGCUAGUAGGUGGGGUAACGGCUCACCUAGGCGACGAUCCCUAGCUGGUCUGAGAGGAUGACCAGCCACACUGGAACUGAGACACGGUCCAGACUCCUACGGGAGGCAGCAGUGGGGAAUAUUGCACAAUGGGCGCAAGCCUGAUGCAGCCAUGCCGCGUGUGUGAAGAAGGCCUUCGGGUUGUAAAGCACUUUCAGCGGGGAGGAAGGCGGUAAGGUUAAUAACCUUGUCGAUUGACGUUACCCGCAGAAGAAGCACCGGCUAACUCCGUGCCAGCAGCCGCGGUAAUACGGAGGGUGCAAGCGUUAAUCGGAAUUACUGGGCGUAAAGCGCACGCAGGCGGUCUGUCAAGUCGGAUGUGAAAUCCCCGGGCUCAACCUGGGAACUGCAUUCGAAACUGGCAGGCUAGAGUCUUGUAGAGGGGGGUAGAAUUCCAGGUGUAGCGGUGAAAUGCGUAGAGAUCUGGAGGAAUACCGGUGGCGAAGGCGGCCCCCUGGACAAAGACUGACGCUCAGGUGCGAAAGCGUGGGGAGCAAACAGGAUUAGAUACCCUGGUAGUCCACGCCGUAAACGAUGUCGAUUUGGAGGUUGUGCCCUUGAGGCGUGGCUUCCGGAGCUAACGCGUUAAAUCGACCGCCUGGGGAGUACGGCCGCAAGGUUAAAACUCAAAUGAAUUGACGGGGGCCCGCACAAGCGGUGGAGCAUGUGGUUUAAUUCGAUGCAACGCGAAGAACCUUACCUGGUCUUGACAUCCACAGAACUUUCCAGAGAUGGAUUGGUGCCUUCGGGAACUGUGAGACAGGUGCUGCAUGGCUGUCGUCAGCUCGUGUUGUGAAAUGUUGGGUUAAGUCCCGCAACGAGCGCAACCCUUAUCCUUUGUUGCCAGCGGUUAGGCCGGGAACUCAAAGGAGACUGCCAGUGAUAAACUGGAGGAAGGUGGGGAUGACGUCAAGUCAUCAUGGCCCUUACGACCAGGGCUACACACGUGCUACAAUGGCAUAUACAAAGAGAAGCGACCUCGCGAGAGCAAGCGGACCUCAUAAAGUAUGUCGUAGUCCGGAUUGGAGUCUGCAACUCGACUCCAUGAAGUCGGAAUCGCUAGUAAUCGUAGAUCAGAAUGCUACGGUGAAUACGUUCCCGGGCCUUGUACACACCGCCCGUCACACCAUGGGAGUGGGUUGCAAAAGAAGUAGGUAGCUUAACCUUCGGGAGGGCGCUUACCACUUUGUGAUUCAUGACUGGGGUGAAGUCGUAACAAGGUAACCGUAGGGGAACCUGCGGUUG
rnacentral:rRNA from 1 species